AUACAAUACGCAGCAGCAGCGCCGAGCGAGAAUCUUUGGGAAGAGUUUCCAUAGAAACACUGACGUCCUCCUGGCGAACAGGACACCGAGUUCUUUCAAUGGGAGAUCUCCUGGAGCAGCUUGUUAACAACUCACCGCUGCACAUGGGUGAAAUUGGAAUGGAACCCACCUUAGCAACAAGCCCAGUUUGGCUCCAGCUGCGGAGAACAGCUCUGACAAAGGUUAUCACAGAAUCACGGAACCAUUAAGGUCCCACCGCCAUACUGAGGGUCACCAUCACAUGUGGACGAGAACCAUGGAGGCAGUCCUAACAGAGAUGUCACAAUCCACACUACGAUUCAAACCCGAGCAGAUGCAAAAAAGGCAGCAGUUCGGUGAAGUCACUGCGGCGUAUUUCGGAAGAUGUGCCAGAUGGCUGCCAGAGUCUUUUAAACCCUGACUUCUCUUCUGAGCCAGCCAUAUUAUCAUCCAUCAGACGGUCUCUUUGGGCUGACAUUGCAGUGCGUGUCUGUCUCUUUUAGGUUUGCCUUGCUCCUGUUUAUUUCUAGCUGAUUUAUUUAUAUCUGGAACCGAUACAAGUGGCACCAUUUCUUUGUUUCAUUAAAAGAUUCCUUGAU
rnacentral:lncRNA from 7 species